rnacentral:rRNA from 1 species
GGCUAACGCUGGCGGUAUGCCUUAGACAUGCAAGUCGAACGAGUUUCCGGGCUUGCUCGGAGAUUAGUGGCGAACGGCUGAGUAACGCGUAGGUGACCUACCCCGUAGUGUGGAAUAACUGCCCGAAAGGGUAGCUAAUACCGCAUGUUGAGCCGACAUCAAUGUCGUCUCCAAAGCAGAAAUGCGCUAUGGGCGGGGCCUGCGUUCGAUUAGCUAGUUGGUGAGGUAACGGCUCACCAAGGCAACGAUGCAUAGCCGACCUGAGAGGGUGAUCGGCCACACUGGGACUGAGACACGGCCCAGACUCCUACGGGAGGCAGCAGUAGGGAAUCUUCCGCAAUGGACGAAGGUCUGACGGAGCAACGCCGCGUGAGUGAUGAAGGCUUUCGGGUCGUAAAACUCUGUUGUUAGGGAAGAACAAGUACGAGAGUAACUGCUCGUACCUUGACGGUACCUAACCAGAAAGCCACGGCUAACUACGUGCCAGCCGCCGCCGUAA